rnacentral:tRNA from 1 species
CUCAUUUAACUAUUCAAUGUUAUUUAUGAUGCUAUUUUGUAGCAUUUGCUUCUUGCUGCUUCAUCACUUGUAAA